rnacentral:rRNA from 1 species
CAGUAGCCGCGGUAAAACAGAGGGUGCAAGCGUUAAUCGGAAUUACUGGGCGUAAAGCGCGCGUAGGUGGUUUGUUAAGUUGGAUGUGAAAUCCCCGGGCUCAACCUGGGAACUGCAUCCAAAACUGGCAGGCUAGAGUAGGGCAGAGGGUGGUGGAAUUUCCGGUGUAGCGGUGAAAUGCGUAGAGAUCGGGAGGAACAUCAGUGGCGAAGGCGGCCAUCUGGGACAACACUGACGCUGAGGCACGAAAGCGUGGGGAGCAAACAGGAUUAGAUACCCCCGUAGUCCCUGUCUCUUAUAC